rnacentral:rRNA from 1 species
GCCUGAUCCAGCCAUGCCGCGUGCAGGAUGACGGUCCUAUGGAUUGUAAACUGCUUUUGUACGAGAAAAAACACUCCUAUGUAUAGGAGCUUGACGGUAUCGUAAGAAUAAGGAUCGGCUAACUCCGUGCCAGCAGCCGCGGUAAUACGGAGGAUCCAAGCGUUAUCCGGAAUCAUUGGGUUUAAAGGGUCCGUACGCGGUUUGGUAAGUCAGUGGUGAAAGCCCAUCGCUCAACGGUGGAACGGCCAUUGAUACUGCCAGACUUGAAUUAUUAUGAAGUAACUAGAAUAUGUAGUGUAGCGGUGAAAUGCUUAGAGAUUACAUGGAAUACCAAUUGCGAAGGCAGGUUACUACUAAUGGAUUGACGCUGAUGGACGAAAGCGUGGGUAGCGAACAGGAUUAGAUACCCUGGUAGUCCACGCCGUAAACGAUGGAUACUACCUGUUGGAAGCAAUUUCAGUGGCUAAGCGAAAGUGAUAAGUAUCCCACCUGGGGAGUACGUUCGCAAGAAUGAAACUCAAAGGAAUUGACGGGGGCCCGCACAAGCGGUGGAGCAUGUGGUUUAAUUCGAUGAUACGCGAGGAACCUUACCAAGGCUUAAAUGUACAUUGACCGGUUUGGAAACAGAUCUGUC